rnacentral:rRNA from 1 species
UACGUAGGCAGCGAGCGUUGUUCGGAAUUACUGGGCGUAAAGAGUGUGUAGGCGGUGCUCUAAGUUUGGUGUGAAAUCUCCCGGCUCAACUGGGAGGGUGCGCCGAAAACUGGAAUGGCUUGAACAUGGGAAGAGGAAGCGGAAUUCCUGGUGUAGCGGUGAAAUGCGUAGAUAUCAGGAGGAACACCUGCGGUGUAGACGGCUUUCUGGACCAUUGUUGACGCUGAGACACGAAAGCGUGGGUAGCAAACAGG